GGGGCGGGAAGUGGUUGCGUUGUUGCUAUUCGAUAUAAAAGAGACGUGUUGGGGUAGGGGCUACCUCAGUAGGAAGCAAUAGAAGAAGGGGCAACGGGGCGAAACUGGAACAGAAGGUUUUUCAGAACCGCUAUCCUGCUCUUCACCCUGUUAUCAGGAUAACCUGGCCAGGUUGGAAAUCAGCUGGAUCCUCACAGCAUCAACUGGUUGGGCUCUUCCUGCAACUCAGUACAGAGAAUGAGACAGCGCUGCAAUUAAAAGGUAAGGUAUGGUAAGCUGCAUGGUCAAUUUUACCAGCAGGGCUCUCCCUUUCCUUGUAUGCUUUUAGGCAGUAUUACAUUUUAAAAAUAUUUAAGUCAGAAAUGUGAAGGUGUUUCAUCUGAAAAAUCUUUGCAGUUAGAUCCUGUGAGGCAUUGUUCUGGUAAUGCUGGAACUUAAUGGCAGGUGAUUAAUUCUGCGUUGGAAAUUCUGUUGGCAAAUAUUUCAGCACUGAAAAUAGGCAUUUGAAAGCUGGAUGCAGGACAGGUGAGGGAAAGUGAGGUUUGCAGGGUGCUUCUUAGCACAACUGUUUCUUAUGUUCUGUACAAGGCAACUCAUGCCUGAGCUGGGGGGGAGGACAUAUGUCCUUUGGAUCCUGCAUAAAUACGAAGUAGGAGGCAAUGUCACCUGGAAACACAAAGGUGUCUUUUCCUCUGUUCACUGCCCGUAUCCCAAUUAUUUCCUUUACAACAUCAGUUUCUAUGACAAACACAGUGGUCACUCCCUUCUCCAUCCCCCCAGGGCAAAUCCGCUACCUGCACUGCCCCAGAAAGAGAUCUGUUUUCUCUGUCACUACUUCCUUUUGUUUUGUUUUAGUAUUUGUGUGCAUCGCUUCUAAAAAAAGGACGAUAGGUAAUGAAGGAGGAAAAAAAAAAAAACUUAAAACCGCAUUUCUUGGCUUAAGCCUUUGUUUUUUUUUCUCAGGCGCCUGUAGGAAUGAAUCAGAUUUUCUCAGGCAGGCAGGAAGCCGCCUUCCAUGUUCAGAAAUCAGUGAGCAUUGUGGGAGAUGUAGUGCAGAUUCACGCCCUGCAGCUCGCUGCGGUUCGGGGCUAGCUGCCUUAAGGCUGGCAGCAGUCCCCCUUCCAGCAUCCCUCCCUUCGCUUUUUAACAAUGGACGUUUCUCCUGUGCCGUUCCCACUUAUCCCAGCCAGAAAAUCAAGACUAAAUUACCUUUCUACUGAGAAAUUCCCUCACCAGAGAUGCAGCCACUUCUUCCACGAAGGAAUUGUCCAUUUUUAGCCCGAAGUCUGCUCGGGGGGGAUCUCCUUGGCUCGGUCUGACCGAUCCCCCAUGGCAGCCCGGCCAGGCGAUGCGGCCCUGGAGCAGCGCGUCCUGCGCGCCGCCGGAUCCUGAGCAGCAGCAGAACUCCUCCCCGUGGGACGCGAGCCGAGCUCUGUCUGUCUCCGAGUGCUGCAGGCGCCGUGGUAACUGCAAAACCCGAGAGCUGCUCGGGGAUAACGUUCGGGAAAUGAAUGUUUAAAGCUGAGAAGCUGAAGGAAUUUCUGAUUUGGGGUUGUUUUGUUGUGUUUUUUUACUUUUUAAAUCAUAGAACGGCUUUAGUUGGAGGGGACCCACAGGGGUCACCAAGUCCAAUGCCUAAGUUGCUGGGAGAAGCGUAGUUAGGUGGUAGCUAUCACUCCUGUAUGAAUGCUACUUUCAAUCAUGUCUGUUUCUUUUAGUAAGAUUGCACUCUUGUUAAAUGCAGCUGCAUUUUUGUUGUAUUCUACUUCAUCUCUCCUACUGGAAACAACUAAAAUGGGAACACUCAUCAGCUUCCUGGGCACCUGACCUGAUGCCUGCUUUAGGGGCUGGCAGCCCUACCUGCAGCAGGGAGGUUGGAACCCGAUGGUCUUUGAGGUCCCUUCCAACCCAACCAUUCUGUGACUCUAUGAGUUCAGUCUUUCCUUUCAGGUUGAACCUACAUGAUAGACAGUACUACAGUAUACCAAUAGGAGGAAUUGUGUUGAGUCAUGCUUUGAGCCUGGGGACCUGACUUAGGUUGGAGACUACCUCCAGAGUACAUGCAAUCCGAGAAUUAAAUUAGAUUAGAUUGCUUAGGAUAGCAGUUUCCAGGGAUGGAGAUUUUGCAUUCUGGAUGAACUCUUUAAGUAUUUGACCAUUGUUAGCUGGGUUUAAUCAAUUCAUAGAAUCACAGAAUCAUUAAGUUGGAAAAGACCUCUGAGAUCAUUGAGUCCAACUGAUCACCUACCACCAAUCCUGCCCACUGAACUAUGUCCCUAAGUACCACAUCUACCUGUUUCUUCAACACCUCCAGGGAUGGUGACCCCAUCAUUCCCCCUGAGCAGCCCAUUCCAGUGCCUGACUGCUCGUUCAGAGAACUUUUUCCUAAUAACCAACCUUGUUACCCAGUUAAAGUUUCUUUUGCUGACAAUUUAUCUGAAAAUUUCCUCUUUCCCCCCUAUAUUUCCUCUGUGAUCAGUAUGGCUUCCAUCUUGGGAACAUCUGAGUAGAAGAAGAUUGACUUUCAAUGAAACAUAACUUGCAUGUGUCUUCAGGAUAGCAGGGGAGGUAAUUUGCUGUCCAUUCAAUAACUAAGACAUGCUAAGGGUCUGACUACUUCGUUAAUGUUGUCAGUGCAAGCAGUCUGAUCUGCAUUCAUUAGCUUGCAGUUUCAUUUGUUCUAGAACAUGAUGCAGCAUGCAAGAGAAUGCUUGGUAUGAUACAGUGCCCUUUCUCCCCCCUGUAUUCCAGGAAUUAUGUUCCAAAAUGAAAGUGGAGCAUAGUUUUAAUAAAUUGACCUCUUGGAAGGUGUCAUUUCAAUGCACAUUUUCCAGAGAGAACUGCUGCGUGACUGUGCAUGAUGGGGCACGUGAGAGGGGCUGUCAUGCUGCCAAGCCUCCAUUGACUUCCACUGAUUUCACAAAACCAGUUUGCUAUGUCCAGAAGGCAUUCAGGUGCUUAGCUUCAUGGCUGGUGUCAACAAAGUAGAUUUAUACAGCAGCAUAUUGGUAGAUGUCUCUGCUCCACAGAGGAAGCGUUUUUCUCUAAGAGGUAAGAGAACUACAGCGUAGGCUUGUGACCUGGUUAAAAUUGCCAAGGAAUUUGCCAAUCCCAAAAUUGUUCAGGGGGAAAAAGAAAUGAAAAAUAUUAAGAUAUUCUUAUCCCUGCUGACAGCUGUAACAAGACAGCGUUGCUUUUUCGAAACUUUUUGCCUAAUGCAGUGAAGUAAAAACUGCAUGUACACGUGUUUGUUAAUGCUGGUUUAUAUACUGCUUCUACAGGCAAUGCUGUGUUCCUCUUUGGGAUGCUGCGAGCACAGAUGUGUGACUUGAGAGCUGCAGAACUUGGAUCUGAUACAGCUGGAUUCUCUCUGAUGAGAAAUCACUGGCAAUAAAUCUCUGUGUUGCAUGUUAGCAGAAGACAGGGUGUUUCUUCAGCACCUCCAGUACUGACAGGUGAGAAAAUAGGUGGCACGGGGACCAAGAACUUGGAAAGGCCUCAGCAGGACAGGGGGAGAAAAUACGCUGAAAAUGAUAAUGACAGGGAGCUCAUUUGCCAAGUGCCAUCACUGAUAAAUCAGGCUUGGCUAGGGGAACAUUAAGGUAAAGGGGAGUUGUAAGAAAGCAGGGGACUGACUCUGUAGCAGAGUCUGUUUUGGUAAGACAAGGAGAAAUGGUUUCAAACUAAAAGGGGAAAUUUGGAUUGAAUGUAAGGAACAAGUUUAUACACUAAGGGCAAUGAGGCACUGGACAGGUUGCAGAGAGGUGGUGGUGCCCCAUCCCUGCAGACACCCCUAGUCAGGGGAUGGGCUCUGAGCACUGAUAGAGCUGUGAGUGUCCCUGUGCAUUGCAAGGAGUGGGACCAGGUGGCCUUUAAAGGUCCCUUACAACAAUUCUAUGAUUAAUUUCAUUUAUUGUCAAUUAAAAAAUAGGGCAGGAUGGUGAGAAGCAAAAACCAGAACAUCUUCUCCCUGUCCUUCCUUAUUCCUGGGUUCAACUUUAGUCUUCUGUUUAUGGCUCUUCUUCCUCCUCCCCACCAAGCAGCACAGUGGGAAUGGCAAAUGAGUGGUCACGUCAGCUCAUAGCAGCCUCCCUCUGCUGCUCCUUCUUCUUCAUAGGUUGAGGUUCAAGGGGAUCUCUGCAGAUCAGUUUGGCCAACCCGCCUGCUUGAGCAGUGCUGCCGCAGGCAGGUUGCCCAGGACCAUGUCCAAACAGCUUUACAAUAUGCUCUAGCAUGGGCUCUGUGCAGGCUGCAGAUUUCUUCAGUGCUUAUCUAACUGCUGAGAUGUGGAAUCCAGUGCGGGAUGCAGUAUGGAUAUGUGGAUAUGUGGUCCUCCAAGGGCAUCAGAGAAUUCCUGAAUUCCCUCCCAGUGCUGCUACCAAAACCAGCAUUAAGCAGAUGAGAGGAAGAGGCAGCAGAGGAAGGAGAUCUGGGUGUCAGAAUGGUGAGACAUUGGAUGCUAGGAGGUAGAGGGGCUUGUGAAAACCCAGUGCAGUGCUUGAGGCAGGAAUUGAUAGGCAGGAGCAUUUUGCAGCACAGAAUUUAGAAGAGUGUUGUGCUGGUUCAGAAAGCUGCAAGACAGGAAUGAGUAGUGCAAUGUUUGUAAACAUAUUCAAAAGUAGUUUUAAAAUAGGCAUUAGUGAAACAAGCAUUGCAGUGAGAGCUGUAGAGCGUAUUGCAGAUGUGUGAACUUGUUGGAGAGGACUAGGCUUGCAGAAGGUACAUAUUUCCAGAGCAAACGAGCAGUCAUCAGGAACUUGAAAAAGGCAGGAGGGAGAAAGAGUUUGAGUAUUUCUUCAAGUAGGAAUAGCUAAAGCACAGGUCUGAAGAGUUUUUACUUUUAAAUGAUGAAACAUCCAACUGCCUUUUAAAAAUGUUGCUGUUGUUACACAUGUACGUAGCAACAUAGCACUAUUAACCUGCGAUCAGCUUUUGAUACCUCUGUUUACUGAUGGGAGAGAUAACAGCUCUCAGUUCAUUUCCUCCAACUAAAAUGGAAAUGCCAGGAAUGCCCUCUCGUGUUUGUCGUUCAGUAUUGCAGCAGUGGGAGAAGCACUCUUGAGCACAGCUGCUGGCUUUGGCACAGAGAUCAGACUUCAGUACCACGUAAUCAUAAAAUCGUUUGAGUUGGAAGGGACCUUUAAAGACCAUCUAGUCCAACUACCCUGCAAUGAAUGCUGUACUGACCAGCCUUAAAAGAACCACAGUUGUGCACAAGUCUUUACAGCAGAUAUGCAGUUUAAUAUUCAAGUACAAGACAAAAGAUUUCUCAAAGUCUAGGGAGAAGUGCUCCAGUAAUCACCAGUCCAAGCUUCAGCCAUGUGCAGGGGGUGUGGCAGGAAGGUGGAGCUGGUCAAGACAGAAGAUGUAGAGGCACUGUUGCUACACCCCGUGGAUGCAUCUUGAAUCCAAAAUAUCUGCAGCAAGUUUCCCAUCAGUGGGCUUGUCAGCAGAGUCAAGGUACCCCUGCUUGUCAGCAUUCAGACCCCAAUGCAAUGGCUGAACUCUUUAUCAGUGAAACUGUUGGUUCCUGGAACCAACAGUGCCUGGGUUCUUCAUGGCACUGAAGCCACAGGGGCAGCCAAUUCAAUAACACUUUAAAAACUGCCCUUCUCUCUCUGCAGCUGUUUAUCUACUGCCACUUGUCUUCUUCAGUCCCAUGAAUCCACACUGUGUUGCUUUGCUCACACUUACCUGGGAAAUGCACUAUUUCUAGAGGGAUAGUCCAGACACUGGGGUGUCCUGUUCCCAAAUGCUACAUUAGAGUAUUGCUUAAAAAUGUUAACUAGGCUGUUUCUUAUUGCAUUUCUCCAAACCUUACUGACAAGUCUGGAGUACAGCAGCCACAACAUUCUGGAUGUUUUUUAGUGAACAAAAUACAGAACAUUUCCUUAUUUGCUAAAGGAAAAAAACAAGUGGAACAUAUAAAGGAUUUUCUAAUCGUAAAAUGCACAAACAUUUUGUGAACAGGAAAUGGAUAGCAAAGCUCAUACUUCAUUUUUUGAAAUGAGAUUUUAUAAGAGUUUUGUACAGUGAUCAGUUUGUACCAGACUGGACUUGGCUGAGGGAUAUUUGGGGCUUCCUUCAUGCUGAUGACUCUCCUGUGAUGGAUAUGUCUAUCUAUGUACUUUUUAUCAUCAACUAGGCUUAGUGAUACAGUAGAAGUCAAGUAUCUGCUCCACUUUCUACUGAGCAAAUAGAUCCUAUCACUGAAACUUACCCUCCUUGAUUUUGCUAUGGGACCAAGUUUUGUCCUAAUGGUGCUGGUAGCUUGUGUGCAGCUAUAAAGUGUUUGUGAUUGUUCCUUUUGUCCAACAUCUUUGGAAGGAAGAGUGUGUACUGGAGGUACUGUUGUACUAGGAUGGAUGGUAAAAGGCUUUCCAGAUGGCAUAGUAGCACCUUAUCUGACUUGAGUAGAAUUUGUGGUGAACCACAUUCCUUUUUGCUUAAAAAAAAAAAAAAAAAAGAGGAAGAAAGAAAUGUACUGUUUAUAGCUGUAAUUUUACCCUGGAACUUAAAUAUUUCUCUGCUUUUCCUGGCAUAAUGGGUUCAUCUUUGCAUUUUUGCAUUCUAUAGAUAUAAUUUUCUCUCUUCUGUGAUUCAUGUUUUCUUAUUCAUGUAACUGCCAUUCCUCGUGCUCUAUAUUCUUCCAAGAUAAAUGAUUUCAUGCAGUGGUUCUUGAAACACUACAUUUUAAGCAUUAAAUUAACCAUGGGCCCAUCCAUGGCCUUGGGCAGCUCUAGUGCCACUCGCAGCUCUGGAUGCAGUGCUGUAGAUGGGGUCUCAUGAGGGCAGAGCUGAGGGGGACAAUCUCUUCCCUGCCCCACUGCUGCCACUCUCUUGAUGCAGCCCAGGACACUGUUGGCCUUCCAGGCUGUGAGUGCACACUGCUGCCUCUUGUCCAGCUUUGUACCACCAGAUCCCCCAAGUCCCAGUGCUGCUCUCAGUGAGUUCUUCUCCCAUCUGCACUCAUAUCUGGGAUUGCCCUGACCCAAGUGUAGCGCCUUGCACUUGGCCUUGUUAAACUUCAUUAGAUUCUCAUGUGCCCACUUCCUGAGUGUGCCCUGGUCCCUCUGGAUGGCAUCCCUUCCUUCUGUCAUGCCAACUGCAUCACUCAGCUUGGUGUCAGCAGCAAACUUGCUGAGGGUGCACUCAAUCCCACUGUCUAUGUCACUGAUAAAGAUGUCAAAGAUCACCAGUCCCAAAAUGGACCCCUGGGGGACACCACUUAUCACUGCAUCCACCCAUACAUAGAGCCAUUGACAACAACCCUCUGGCUGUGACCAUCCCACCAGCCUUCAAACCCAUAUCUCUCCAAUUUAGAGAUAAGGAUGUGAUGGGGGACCUUGCCAAAGGCCUUGCACAAGUCCAGGUAGAGGACAUGAGUUGCCUUCCCUUUAUACAUCAAUGCUAUCACUCCAUAGGCCACCAGGUGGGUCAGGCACAACCUUCCCUUGGUGAAGCUGUGCUGGCUGUUCCGGAUCACUUCCUCAUCCCCUGCAUGCUUUAAUGUCUCUUCCAGGAGUAUCUAAGAUGAUGCACUUAGUUUGAGCUUGGCUGAAUUGUUCAGGUAUUCUUUAGAAAUAAUUACAUUUCAAUGCUGGAACUGAACAUUUUGUUUAAAAAUAUAAAGUAGUUUCAGUUGACUUCUACUCUAGAACUGCUGUGAACAGGAAUGUGGGAAAUUACUGACACACUGGAAAAGUGUUAAAGUACUCAAUAGGAAACAAUAUUGCACAAGGAACCUGGUAGGGUUUUUGAAGUGACCUUGAAUUCGCUUUACCCAAAGGUCACUUCACCUGAAUUCCACUGAGCCAACUGCUGGCUGAUGACACUCAUGCAUAAAUCCAGCCGCCCACUGAGGUUUCAUUUCCCUUUACAAACCUGUGCUUUUUUUUUUCCCCAUACAGACUGUGUUUUUGCAUGUUCACAGUGUGUUUAUUGUUUAUUACAGGCUCUGUCACUUUGCCAAGGAGGCCAUUUGCAAGCCCAUAAUUGGUAGAUACUUUAUAGAGCCUCUCUUGUAGGUGGGUAUUACAUUAGCAGCACUGCAGGCCUCUGGCAGGGUCACCCUUUGUGAGGCGGAUAGCACAUGUAUGCCAGCAGCUCUCCUGUUUCACAUUUGAGAGUUCUCUGUUCUCUGUAUGCAGACACCCCUUCCAUUUCUUUAAAUUCCAGCCUUUUCUUUCUGACCACUACCUUAACUCAUUAUUAAUCCAAAUGGGAAUUAAUUGGUGUGGGGUUUUUUCUUUGUUUCCUAUUUAUCCUUUUGGUCUCUGCUUCUAAUCCUGUGAAGCUUCAAGACUCCCAUAGGCUUCCUGCUCUCAGGGCUGCUCUUUUCAGCAUUUUCAUGACUAGUAGUGUUGUCUUUACAUUGUUAUGUUUCUUCACCAUUUUUACCUGGUGCUUUCUUCAAGCACAUGCUUUUUUUCUCUGUUUAGCUAUCACUGCUAAAGAGCAGCUCUUACACUGAUACCACAGACCUGCUUCCCAUGCACCACUUGAGUCUCACAUGUGGUUUCCUAUACAGCUUCUUCAAGAACCUACUUGCGCUAGGGCACCUCAGCUCUACCCGUAGCCAUUCCCCAUCCCUGCAGCAUCACUGCUGCUGAAGAAUGAAAUGAAUAAUCUCUGUGUGCACUACUAAGGAGAGGUGACCAUAAUGUAAUGGGCUGAUGUAACCUCUGGUCCUCUCUUUAUUCUUCACCUAUUUAAAUACACACUUAUCGUUCUGCCCAAC
rnacentral:lncRNA from 1 species